rnacentral:rRNA from 1 species
UACGUAGGCAGCGAGCGUUGUUCGGAGUUACUGGGCGUAAAGAGUAUGUAGGCGGUUCGCUUAGUCUGGUGUGAAAUCUCCCGGCUUAACUGGGAGGGUGCGCCGGAUACUGGCGGGCUGGAGUACGGGAGAGGGAAGCGGAAUUCCUGGUGUAGCGGUGAAAUGCGUAGAUAUCAGGAGGAACAUCUGUGGUGAAGACGGCUUCCUGGACCGUAACUGACGCUGAGAUACGAAAGCGUGGGGAGCAAACAGG